UUGGAGGGCAAGUCUGGUGCCAGCAGCCGCGGUAAUUCCAGCUCCAAUAGCGUGUAUUAAAGUUGUUGCAGUUAAAAAGCUCGUAGUUGAAUUUCGGGGUCAGUAGGUUGGUCGUGCCACUGGUAUGCGCUGGUCUCACUGAUUCCUCCUUCCUGAUGAACCGUAAUGCCAUUAAUUUGGUGUUGCGGGGAAUCUGGACUGUUACUUUGAAAAAAUUAGAGUGUUUAAAGCAGGCUAACGCUUGAAUACAUUAGCAUGGAAUAAUGAAAUAGGACGAUCGAUCCUAUUUUGUUGGUUUCUAGGAUUGACGUAAUGAUUAAUAGGGAUAGUUGGGGGCAUUAGUAUUCAAUUGUCAGAGGUGAAAUUCUUGGAUUUAUUGAAGACUAACUACUGCGAAAGCAUUUGCCAAGGAUGUUUUCAUUAAUCAAGAACGAAAGUUAGGGGAUCGAAGACGAUCAGAUACCGUCGUAGUCUUAACCAUAAACUAUGCCGACUAGGGAUCGGAUGAUGUUAAUUUUUUAAUGACUCAUUCGGCGCCUUACGGGAAACCAAAGUGUUUGGGUUC
rnacentral:rRNA from 1 species